AACAAAGGCUAUGGAAGUGCUGAGCCAUCCUCCUGGAAGAACAGGUUUCAUCAUUGCUCUGAGCUCUGGUUUAAAGCCAAAAUGGACUUGGCAGUGCAGGGCUGUGGUCAAAAUGUGUGACCAGUACCAAUUCCAAAAUGCAAGAACCAGCUACUCAACUUCAGAACAUUGCCACAAAACAGAAACAGGAUGGAUACUUCAUCAAAUGGUUUGUUGUCCCCGGGCCCCCUGUAGCAAGAGGAUGGGUGCGUGGUGCUGCAGUGCAGUUACAAAAGCUGUACUAUUUUAAUGCGGAAGGAUGUGGUUUGGGGUUGGUUAAUACACAUUGCUUGACAUAUUUACAAGUGUCAGAUUGUGUUCUCUGUUUAUAAGACUUGUGCCAAAAGGAAGGGGAGUAACAUGGGCCAAAGUACUUCCCUGAUUGCGGGUGCC